AGUAAACAAAGCCAAACGGCUUCCUGAGAAGUGUAACCGGCAUGCGGUUAUCACCUCUGGUCACACUCUGCCGCUAGCAAAAUAUAUUGUACAGUUUGCUAGCAACGUACUUUCGGAUCUGAGUACUGGGCUAUAACAUUGACAAUUAGUUUUUAUACCCGGUACUCGAAGAGAAACGAGAAGGGACGUGUGAGACGCUUCUUACGCGUCACAACUUUUAUACUCGGCACUCAGUACUAC
rnacentral:lncRNA from 1 species